CUUUAGUCUAAACCUUCUCUCUCUGUCACCUUUGUUGUCCCUAUCCUGCUUGAUUUUCAUUCCACUAGAAGCAGUCUCUCUUCAGUGUAGGUCCCUGCCCUAAAAGGGAUCCCUGGCAGGUGAUUUCAGAGGAGCUACACUGCUCCAUCCCCUUCAGCUUAUCUUACACAAGCCCCUUGAGCCCUACUGGUAUUGGAGAAAACAAACCCCUCCUUUUAGAGCUGCUGUUCUGGAAUCAUCCCACCAAUGCUUUCCUUGC
rnacentral:lncRNA from 1 species